CCACUCUGGAGCAGGAGGGGGAGGAGGUGGUGGGACAGGCUCGAUGCCCCUUUGAGUCCCGCCAGUCCAACGUCGGCCUUUUUGCAGGUGGUGAUUUCUACUCGGCCACCAUGACAGACUUCUUGGCGAGCGACGCAGUGAUUUACCGAAGUCUGGGAGAAAGCAGCCCAGUGCUGCGUACCGUCAAGUACGACUCCAAAUGGCUGAGAGAGCCCCAUUUCCUGCACGCUAUCGAGUACGGGAACUACGUGUACUUCUUCUUGAGUGAGAUCGCAGUGGAGUACACCACUCUUGGCAAGG